rnacentral:rRNA from 1 species
GACGAACGCUGGCGGCGUGCUUAACACAUGCAAGUCGAACGGAAAGGCCCUGCUUUUGUGGGGUGCUCGAGUGGCGAACGGGUGAGUAACACGUGAGUAACCUGCCCUUGACUUUGGGAUAACUUCAGGAAACUGGGGCUAAUACCGGAUAGGAGCUCCUGCUGCAUGGUGGGGGUUGGAAAGUUUCGGCGGUUGGGGAUGGACUCGCGGCUUAUCAGCUUGUUGGUGGGGUAGUGGCUUACCAAGGCUUUGACGGGUAGCCGGCCUGAGAGGGUGACCGGCCACAUUGGGACUGAGAUACGGCCCAGACUCCUAAGGGAGGCAGCAGUGGGGAAUAUUGCACGAUGGGCGGAAGCCUGAUGCAGCAACGCCGCGUGCGGGAUGACGGCCUUCGGGUUGUAAACCGCUUUCGCCUGUGACGAAGCGUGAGUGACGGUAAUGGGUAAAGAAGCACCGGCUAACUACGUG